GGCCUCGUAGCUCAGCUGGUAGAGCGUGCGCGUACAAAGCGUAGGCGGCGUACAGGCGUGGGUUCGAAUCCCACCGAGGCUA
rnacentral:tRNA from 1 species